UCCAUAUUUGCGUCCUUCCUGAGGGCUGUUCCGUGUCGAUACUUCUCCUCAGCAUGAGAGCCAAGUGGCGAAAGAAGCGUAUGCGCAGGCUGAAGCGCAAAAGAAGAAAGAUGAGGCAGAGGUCUAAAUAAAACUGCCCCCUUGGCUGUGAUUUCGCCAAGUUCUGGACUGCUGAGGCCUAUUCACUGUUGGUGUUCCUCGGCGUCAAGUCUGAGGCCAGUACCAUCCAUAUCAACCAGAGGCAACGGAGUGACGUCCGAGCUGCUGAUCGAUAUAGGAGAACUUAUUCAGGACCGCUUGGGGUCUUGGAUUAAGGGGUCUAUCCCUACGGGACAGGCUGGGCUCUGCUCUUAACAAAACUUAAAUCCAAUUGAUUUUUGUUUUUAUACUUUUAAGUGAUUAAAGGUUUUACUUUGAAAAAAAUUAA